rnacentral:rRNA from 1 species
GGAUUAGAUACCCUGGUAGUCCACGCCGUAAACGAUGGGCACUAGUUGGUGCGGGUAUUGACCCCUGCGCUGACGUAGCCAACGCAUUAAGUGCCCCGCCUGGGGAGUACGGCCGCAAGGCUAAAACUCAAAGGAAUUGACGGGGGCCCGCACAAGCGGUGGAGCAUGUGGAUUAAUUCGAAGCAACGCGCAGAACCUUACCCGGCCUUGACAUCCCGAGAAGCCGCCCGAAAAGGCGGUGUGCUCUUCGGAGAACUCGGUGACAGGUGCUGCAUGGCUGUCGUCAGCUCGUGCCG